rnacentral:ncRNA from 1 species
UACUGCAUGAACCGGUGUUCGUCUCUAGCCAUGUUCGUCUUGCGCCCGACAUGGCUGGAUUCGUUCUGAGAUUAUACGGUUUCGAACUUGAUCAGGAUAAUACCUGCGAAAAGGAUCAUGCUCUGCUCUGCU